rnacentral:tRNA from 1 species
GGGGGUGUAGCUCAGUGGUAGAGUGCUUUUGUAUAGUAUAAGUGAGGUCCUGGGUUUGAUCUCUAGCACUGCAA